rnacentral:rRNA from 3 species
UGCCAAUGGCACUGCCCGGUAGCUAAAUGCGGAAGAGAUAAGUGCUGAAAGCAUCUAAGCACGAAACUUGCCCCGAGAUGAGUUCUCCCUGAGACUUAGAGUCUCCUGAAGGAACGUUGAAGACGACGACGUUGAUAGGCCGGGUGUGUAAGCGCAGCGAUGCGUUGAGCUAACCGGUACUAAUGAACCGUGAGGCUUAACCUUACAACGCCGAAG